rnacentral:rRNA from 1 species
UACGGAGGGUGCAAGCGUUAUCCGGAUUCACUGGGUUUAAAGGGUGCGUAGGAGGGCAGGUAAGUCAGUGGUGAAAUCUCCAAGCUUAACUUGGAAACUGCCGUUGAUACUAUCUGUCUUGAAUACCGUGGAGGUGAGCGGAAUAUGUCAUGUAGCGGUGAAAUGCUUAGAUAUGACAUAGAACACCAAUUGCGAAGGCAGCUCGCUACACGAAGAUUGACUCUGAGGCACGAAAGCGUGGGGAUCAAACAGG